CAUAAUUUUAUCACAUCGGUAUUUUUAUCCCGAAUUUUAGUAUUUUCAUCCUGAAACAAAUCAAAUCCAAAUUAAGAUCCUAAAAUUCAGGAUAAAAUUACUGAUGUGGCAUAAAAUUAUU
rfam:Gossypium raimondii Chr07_contig_700, whole genome shotgun sequence.